rnacentral:rRNA from 1 species
AUUGAACGCUGGCGGCAUGCCUUACACAUGCCAGUCGAACGGUAACGGGCCUUCGGGUGCCGACGAGUGGCGAACGGGUGAGUAAUACAUCGGAACGUGCCCGAUCGUGGGGGAUAACGAGGCGAAAGCUUUGCUAAUACCGCAUACGAUCUACGGAUGAAAGCAGGGGACCGCAAGGCCUUGCGCGGACGGAGCGGCCGAUGGCAGAUUAGGUAGUUGGUGGGAUAAAAGCUUACCAAGCCGACGAUCUGUAGCUGGUCUGGGAGGAUGAUCAGCCACACUGGGACUGAGACACGGCCCAGACUCCUACGGGAGGCAGCAGUGGGGAAUUUUGGACAAUGGGCGCAAGCCUGAUCCAGCCAUGCCGCGUGCAGGAUGAAGGCCUUCGGGUUGUAAACUGCUUUUGUACGGAACGAAAAGCCUUCUUUUAAUACAGGAGGGUCAUGACGGUACCGUAAGAAUAAGCACCGGCUAACUACGUG